GAUGAACGCUAGCGGGAGGCUUAACACAUGCAAGUCGAGGGCAGCACGAGGUAGCAAUACUUUGGUGGCGACCGGCGCACGGGUGAGUAACGCGUAUGCAACCUACCCUGUACAGGGGGAUAACCCGGAGAAAUUCGGACUAAUACCCCAUAAAGAUAUUUAGAGGCAUCUUUGAAUAUUUAAAGUUACGACGGUACGGGAUGGGCAAGCGUGACAGUAGCUAGUUGGUAGGGUAACGGCCUACCAAGGCUUCGAUGUCUAGGGGUCCUGAGAGGGUGAUCCCCCACACGGGUACUGAGACACGGACCAGACUCCUACGGGAGGCAGCAGUGAGGAAUAUUGGUCAAUGGGCGCAAGCCUGAACCAGCCAUCCCGCGUGAAGGAAGAAUGCGCUAUGCGUUGUAAACUUCUUUUCCAGGGGAAGAAAACCUGAUACGUGUAUCGGCUUGCCGGUACCCUGGGAAUAAGCAUCGGCUAACUCCGUGCCAGCAGCCGCCGUAACAC
rnacentral:rRNA from 1 species